rnacentral:rRNA from 1 species
GGGAUGAACGCUGGCGGCGUGCUUAACACAUGCAAGUCGAACGGUGAAGCCCAGCUUGCUGGGUGGAUCAGUGGCGAACGGGUGAGGUAACACGUGAGCAACCUGCCCCUGACUCUGGGAUAAGCGCUGGAAACGGUGUCUAAUACUGGAUACGAACAGUGACCGCAUGGUCAGUUGUUGGAAAGAUUUAUUGGUUGGGGAUGGGCUCGCGGCCUAUCAGCUUGUUGGUGAGGUAAUGGCUCACCAAGGCGUCGACGGGUAGCCGGCCUGAGAGGGUGACCGGCCACACUGGGACUGAGACGACGGCCCAGACCUCCGUACGGGGGAGCCGAGCAGGUGGGGAAUAGUUGCAACGAAGUUCGGGGGACG